UGGGGAAUAUUGCACAAUGGGCGCAAGCCUGAUGCAGCCAUGCCGCGUGUGUGAAGAAGGCCUUCGGGUUGUAAAGCACUUUCAGCGAGGAGGAAGGUGGUGAGCUUAAUACGCUCAUCAAUUGACGUUACUCGCAGAAGAAGCACCGGCUAACUCCGUGCCAGCAGCCGCGGUAAUACGGAGGGUGCAAGCGUUAAUCGGAAUUACUGGGCGUAAAGCGCACGCAGGCGGUUUGUUAAGUCAGAUGUGAAAUCCCCGGGCUCAACCUGGGAACUGCAUUUGAAACUGGCAAGCUAGAGUCUCGUAGAGGGGGGUAGAAUCCUCAGGUGUAGCGGUGAAAUGCGUAGAGAUCUGGAGGAAU
rnacentral:rRNA from 1 species